UACGAAGGGGGCUAGCGUUGUUCGGAAUUACUGGGCGUAAAGCGCACGUAGGCGGACAUUUAAGUCAGGGGUGAAAUCCUGGAGCUCAACUCCAGAACUGCCUUUGAUACUGGCGACCUUGAGUCCGGGAGAGGUGAGUGGAACUGCGAGUGUAGAGGUGAAAUUCGUAGAUAUUCGCAAGAACACCAGUGGCGAAGGCGGCUCACUGGCCCGGUACUGACGCUGAGGUGCGAAAGCGUGGGGAGCAAACAGG
rnacentral:rRNA from 1 species